rnacentral:rRNA from 1 species
GAUGAACGCUGGCGGCGUGCCUAAUACAUGCAAGUCGAGCGAACGGACGAGAAGCUUGCUUCUCUGAUGUUAGCGGCGGACGGGUGAGUAACACGUGGAUAACCUACCUAUAAGAGUGGGAUAACUUCGGGAAACCGGAGCUAAUACCGGAUAAUAUUUUGAACCGCAUGUUUCAAAAGUGAAAGAUGGUCUUGCAGUAACUUAUAGAUGGAUCCGCGCUGCAUUAGCUAGUUGGUAAGGUAACGGCUUACCAAGGCAACGAUGCAUAGCCGACCUGAGAGGGUGAUCGGCCACACUGGAACUGAGACACGGUCCAGACUCCUACGGGAGGCAGCAUUAGGGAAUCUUCCGCAAUGGGCGAAAUCCUGACGGAGCAACGCCGCGUGAGUGAUGAAGGUCUUCGGAUCUAAAAACCCUGUUAUUAGGGAAGAACAUAUGUGUAAGUAACUGUGCACAUCUUGACGGUACCUAAUCAGAAAGCCACGGCUAACUACGUG